ACGGCGUCGUUUUAGUGAAUGUAAAACCCCAUAAACCCCUUCACUCUCAAUCUCCUUCUCAUUCUGCCUUGCAUGGUUUUGAUUUUGAGUUCUUGGCAAACCCAACAAAACUUCACAUUUCCAAUCUCAGAUUCUCCCAAACCGUUCAGACCCAUCUCGUGAUUCUCAGAAUUUGGGUUAUUUCUCAACUAUGGUUUCCACAGAUUCAUUACAAGUUUCACUUUUGAGAUAAACUUCUAUUCUCUUAUGUGCUCUGCUCUCAGGUUCAACAGCUAUGCACACCAUGUGUUUGAGAAAAUGUCUGUAAGAAAAUUUGGCUGCUUUUCAAUCUAGCGUUUCUGGGUUUUGUUUGCUGAGUUGAACUUUCUUUUAUUUCUUGAAUUUUUGUGUCUAUAUCGUCUCAGUGAGAAAAUGCUAACCCGUGUUACUUCUCGUUUAUUGUACUCUUCACAUUUCACUAUGAAACAUAUUGGCUUUAACCCAACUAGGAAAGUUCUCUGCUUUUUCUCUUCUCAAUCUUCAUCUUCCUUAACCACAAACUCAGACUCAAGUUUGGCUCUGGUUGAUUUUCUUAUAAGUACUUGCAAACUCACCAAAGUACAAGCUCACUCCAUAUCUGAAUGCUUCCCAUCAGUUAAGUCCACUGAUAAGCCACAAUCAGUUCAUAAACUUUUUCUGGAGUAUGGCUUGUCUGACACCCAUAUAAGGUCUACUAUUAUUGGUUGUCCCCAAACAUUGUUUGCUGAUGCUGAUAAGACACUGAGAGGAAAGCUUGAGGCUUUGAUUGAGUUGGGAAUGGAUGGUGAUGAUUUGGGCAAGUUUCUUUCUAAGAACCCAACAGUGUUAGCUCGUAGUUUGGAGAAUAAGUUGAAGCCAAGUAUUGAACUUCUUAAGGAUAUUUUGGGAGAUGAUGCUAACAGCAAAGAUUUUAUGCGUAUCCUUAGAUGUAGAUGGAUUUUGUGGGCAGACCAUAAUAGGUUGUUGGCUAAUAGGACCUUUCUAAAGAGUUGUGGACUUGUUGGUGCUCAGCUCGCUUUUGUUUUUAAGAUGGAGCCUCGUAUUUGUCUUAUGCAAGAAUCUGAACUUAGAGAUCUUGUUUCCAGGGUGUUAGAUAUGGGAGUUCCGCUAGCUUCAAACAUGUUCCCUCAUGCCCUCCACGCAAUUGGCGGUUUGAGAAAAGAGACAGUUACUGAAAAGUUGGACUUGCUUGUAAGUCUUGGCUUUUCCAAGGAUGAAUCUUUGCAGUUGUUUAGAAGAGCACCUCUUGUUUUAAGAACUUCAGAAGAAAAAUUGAGGUUUGGAGUCGAUUUCUAUUUGAAUACAGCUAAGUUUAAUAGGUCAGUGUUGAUUCGAUCACCAUGGUUGUUGAUGUCUAGUAUGGAGAAACGAGUGAUUCCUCGGUACAAGGUUUUACAAGUUUUGAAGCUGAAGAGGCUGUUUGUGAAGGAGCCUAGUUUUUACACUAUGCUGCAGAAAACAGAGGGCCAGUUCUUGCUGAGCUUUAUAUCAAAGUUUCGAAAUUAUGCUGAUGAACUUUUGGCAGUUUACGAGGGUUAUAAGUCAGGCUCCAUUGGUAGUUUAAAAGAAGAAGAAGAAGAAAAAUCUACAAUGGCUCUGAUUUAGCUGAUACUCAAAUCUGUAGAAUGGUAUGAGAACUUAUUCUUUCCAUUCCUUUCAUCAACAGAAUUGAACUGAGUUGGCUUGUCAAAAUCUCUGUUAUAGGUUUUUGACUGAAGAGAACAAGAAGAGAACACUCACAAACCUCAUCUCAAGAAUCAUUACAAGUGAUACUUUUGGUAUAAACUGCUCUUCUCUGCUGUUUGAGAAAAUGUCCAUAAGAAAAUUUUGCUUCACUUCUAUGCGGAUAAACUCUUUGGUAGUUUAUGAGGGUCAUAAGUCAGGCUCCAUUGGUAGUUUUGAAAAAGAAGAAGAAGAAAAGUCUACAAUGGCUCUGAUUUAGCUGACACUCAAAUCUGUAGAAUGGUAUGAGUGAACAACAGACUUGAUUUGAACUGUAUAGUAUAGAGCAAAUGACAAGUACCUUUGCUCCCAAGACGUAUGUUGCAGCCCCAUCAAGGUGGUCUAGUGGCGAAAACAAGAUCACGAGUCCUGAGAAAAAGCUCAGCAGCCUCAUGGGAGAGGACACAACAAUAGCGGGAAUCAGGCCGAGCCGCAUAUUGGACCAUAUAUUUUGCAUAUCGCGAUAACAAUGUUCGCCUAACAUAUUCAAACUUCCAAGUAAAGGAUACCUUUUGGAACAUGAUGGAAAUUCUUCUUCUGAUUCUCUUCAAUAUUUAAAUUCAAAGAAUACUAAAGAUAGUAACGCACAUAGUCACUUAUUUUGGAGGUGUUUGAGAAUUGUGGGAAUUGAUUCAUUCAAGGAUGCUGAGAUACUUUUCAAAACUUGAGACAUUAGUAUUUAGUCCCAUUGUUUUGUUGGGACUUGGGAUCAAUAAUUGCCUAUGUAAGACUUUUAUCAUACUUUUUUGUUGUAAUGACAAUAAUAAGACAUUUUAGAGUCCAUUUUUUCUUUUCAUUAGA